UAUCACCGCCCUUUAACCCACAGAUUAGAAGUUAGAUUGUUGGAUACGAUUUGCCAUUCUCUCGUUUAUUAAUCCUUUCUGGUUUAACUUCAAUCUUUUUUCACUACAAUUACAAUCGUCUUCAUAAACUUCUGAUUCAAGUUCAAUUCCAGUGGAUGACCGUUAUCCUUAGCUCAGGCUUAGGAAGGAACCGACAAGAUACCAGUUUCGAGAUCGGAUGGUUGCACCUCCUUCCCCCUUCCAUCACUCCGUUAUCACCAGCUUGCCCACCUAUCCUUAUCUCAUGCUUCUUCAUAUCCUUUUUGGCGCUUUUAUUAAUCCCCUUAAAAUGGGCGCGCGUCUGCUUCACGAUUUGCCUGCUGCACCGCCCUUCUCCCCCAAUGAGACUGCAAGUUUGAAGGAACCAAAGUUACUUGCCUCUGUCUUCUACCGUCGCUCUGCAAGCAGUCUUCCACUAUUUCUCCACCGCCCUUUACGUUUGACAGGUGGCCAUCUAUUUUCUUUGCACACCUUCAUCCCCAAGCCAAGUCACCUUCCACUCCGUGAUUAGUCAUUCACCGUUUUCUACCACCACCACUUUCACUAAUGGUUUUCUUUCAUCAAAAAAGACACUUGCUAUAAACCGCUUUCUUUCUCUUCAUCACAUUCAUUUUUGGGUUUCAUUUAUAUCUUUAUCUCUCUUCUAUUUCCAGCGACCCCAAUUGAAGCCAAGCCUUCCCCAUUUAAUUCAUCGACCCCAAGAACCCCCCGUGGUUUUUGGGGUGUGUGUCGGUGGUGGUUCAACUGACGACAAUGAUGAGCAGAUGUUCGGAUAAGUGUUAUGUUUACUUCCCGUUUCAAUUACUGGCUCCAUCUUUUCCUAUCAAAUGCUAUAAUAAUCACUUCAUUAACCAUCUUCUUCUUCUUCUUUAAAAUUAGGGUUCUUAGUUGUAGAUUUUUUUUUAAUUUGUCUACUGAUGUUCUGCAACUUAAUCAUGAUAGAUGAGAAAAGAUCAGCAAGGAACGUGUUAUUGUUGCUUACAUCAUCGAGUUACUUCAAGAAAUAGGUUGUGAUGUUGCUGUCAAAAAGAUCAGGAAGGAAGGUGUUGCUGUUGCCUACAUGAUUGAGUAAAAUACUCCACGAAAUGGAUUUUGUUGUUGCUGUCAAAAAGAUCAGGAAGGAAGAUGUGUGAGUUAAAUAACUGGGAAAAUCAAACUGUUUGUAGCCUUGAUUCCUGUUUCACGACAUCUUCGUGUUUUUUCCUCCUUGAAUCGUCUCGUUCUUCUACCGACACCCUUACUUGCUGCCAAGCUCCACCGUCUCACCUACUCUGCGUUUUCAUGUGAGUUGAAGACGACCACUGAAGUUGAUCUUUCUGGGAUUUUAAGACUCAUCUGGCCGUAAUCAACAAGACGUCGCCGACAUCUACGGUUCGAUUCCUGCCAGUAUCCCCUUAAGGUUUAAAAAGAUAUAGAUAUCCCCACAUCAUUAUUUUAUAACUUUCGGAUAAGAUUUACUGUUGUUCUUUGUGAAUUUCAAUUUUCUAUUUGGUUUGGAAUUUAGAUUUCUAUUUCUUGAUUACAUUUAGUUUAUACUUCUUGCUCUUUUUACAUAUUUGAAUUAAUUGAUUACUAUUUUGUCUUUUCAAGUUGUGCUUUAUUAACAUAUAACAUGGCAAGACAUCCUCUUGUAUGUCGUUUUGUUAUUAUUUCUGUUGACAAGUUGUUAAAGGAGAAGAUGAGCAAAAGAUUUUCUAAUUUCUUGGAUUUCAAUUUUAGGGGUACAAUUUUAAAAUGAUAAUCAAAGUUUAAUAGAUGAAAAGCCUAUGCAUUCCUCCAUCUACCAACUGAUUAAUUACUUGCUACUCAGGAUCAGGGAAAGAAACAAAUAUCUUCCUAUGUAUUUCAUUUAUAUGCUUUAUAGUUGACAGGAAUGACAAUAAUAAGGGUAAAAUAUUUUUCAUAGCCAAUUAUUCUAUCAGUUGGUUGGUUUCAGGAAGGACCUUUGACAGCAAACCCCACCUUCUAAUAAAAUAGAAGGUGCACUAAAAGUUAAGAACUGCCAUCCAAAGAAAUUUGGUAAUUUUUAUAUCUAUUUCUCUUCUUUAAUCCUUCCAUAUUUGGUUCGAAAUUACUACUGUUUUAUUUUGAAAUGUGAUUACAAAUUCUUACUUUGGGUUUUGUUAGUCAGAGAAGAUUAAGAAGUAUCUACUAAGUGGCAUACAAAUUGAAUUUGUGAUAGCUGUUAAUUUUUGGUAGAGGCAAUCAACUUUUUUUUUGGUAAUAGCAAUGUACAAGUGAUCUUUGGUUUUUUAAUUUCCGAUAAAAAGUCCCUUUAGGUGUUGAAAUUAAUUUCCGAUAAAAAGUCCCUUUAGGUGUUGAAAUUGCCAUAACUAAUUUUUUUUGUGGUUGUGGCUUGAUAGUGAAAACCCUUUUUUCCUAAUUUUCUACAAUUAACGCAUUCUUUCUGCAUUAACCUUUGGAAAGCCGCUAAAGUUUUAUGUGAUUUCAUGAGUCUUUUGUAAUUACAAAGUUUAGGCAAUCUUUCCGCAUUGACUUUUGGAAAAUCGUCAAAUUAUUUUUCAAUUUCCUGAGAUUUUAUUAUAAUAAGUUUAAUAUUAGGAAACCAUAUCUUUAAGAUUAUUUGGAAGAUUAAACGCAAGAAAUGACAAUGUACUUUUAAGUUUUUUUUUUAUUAUAGUUGGUUUAUCUUAUUAUAAACACUUUACAAUUAAGCUAAAAAGUAAUAUUUCGCUUUGAUUAUAGAUUGUGCCAACGUCCGAUAUACAUAAGGGUUGGUUGGGAUUCUUUGUUAUUCAGUGGUUAUGCUUAUGCCCAUUUCUCUUUGGGAUAUAUUUUUAUAUUUUUGCAAAGCUUUUUACAAUAUGCAACUACUCUUAUAUUAUUUUGUCGCGUUGUAUGCAUAAGUUCUUAAUGGAUUAUUGGGACCUUUUCGGAAACCAAUAUACGCAAUGUACUUCAACUUUCACCUGUAAUAGUGAUGUGAUUCCAUUUCCUAACCCAUAACAGCAAUGUACUUUCAUAUCAUUAUUGAUAAUAGCAACAUACUUGGCUCUUUACUAAUAAUAGCAAUGUACUUACA